rnacentral:piRNA from 1 species
AUUUGUCUGUUGUGUGAUACAUU